AAACAUCAGAUAUAUAGAGUGAAUUUAAUCACAGAGAUAUCUCAAUUUUGGUUUUGUGAGGAUAUAUAAGAGGUUUACUUAAUUGUCAUCCUUCUCAAGUCUCAACAAGUGUAUGUGAAAAUAAAAUAAGACAUAACAUCUAGACACGGGUUUUGCAGAAGAUACGGUUCACAAUCGAAACAUGAGACUAUCGUUGGAAACCAACGUUAUGUUCUUUUUUUCUUUUUUCUUUUUUUCUUGUUGGUCAAACCAAACCUUGGUUCCAACUCGUUAUGGUUGAUAAAGAAAAAAUCCUGUUAGCCCCAUCCACCAUCAGGAAGCUAGCGACUCAGUCCAUGAUCUACAACAUCUGGAGGCAGCGCAACUCGGCAGUUCAUCUCACUGGAUUCUCCCCGCAGCAGAUAACAUUCGCCACCAUAGACAGGGAUAUCCGUAAUGCCAUCAGUGCGAGAAGACAUAGGAGGAAAUUCUUUACUCUUAUGCAACUUUGGAUUAGAUAGUUACAACUUUCUGAUCUAACAAUCAUGUGUAUACCUUGUUUUUUAUUUCUUUUUUGCCAAGGUAUCACUUUUAGGCUUUUGUAAUCCUAAA